UUGGAUCCAGACUUUGAUCAUGGCUCAGGAUGAACGCUAGCUACAGGCUUAACACAUGCAAGUCGAGGGGAAACGACAUCGAAAGCUUGCUUCCGAUAGGCGUCGACCGGCGCACGGGUGAGUAACGCGUAUCCAACCUGCCCAUCACUUGGGGAUAACCUUGCGAAAGUAAGACUAAUACCCAAUGAUAUCUCUAGAAGACAUCUGAAAGGGAUUAAAGAUUCAUCGGUGAUGGAUGGGGAUGCGUCUGAUUAGCUUGUUGGCGGGGUAACGGCCCACCAAGGCGACGAUCAGUAGGGGUUCUGAGAGGAAGGUCCCCCACAUUGGAACUGAGACACGGUCCAAACUCCUACGGGAGGCAGCAGUGAGGAAUAUUGGUCAAUGGGCGAGAGCCUGAACCAGCCAAGUAGCGUGCAGGAUGACGGCCCUAUGGGUUGUAAACUGCUUUUAUAAGGGAAUAAAGUGGGAGUCGUGACUCUUUUUGCAUGUACCUUAUGAAUAAGGACCGGCUAAUUCCGUGCCAGCAGCCGCGGUAAUACGGAAGGUCCGGGCGUUAUCCGGAUUUAUUGGGUUUAAAGGGAGCGUAGGCCGGAGAUUAAGCGUGUUGUGAAAUGUAGAUGCUCAACGUCUGCACUGCAGCGCGAACUGGUUUCCUUGAGUACGCACAAAGUGGGCGGAAUUCGUGGUGUAGCGGUGAAAUGCUUAGAUAUCACGAAGAACUCCGAUUGCGAAGGCAGCUCACUGGAGCGCAACUGACGCUGAAGCUCGAAAGUGCGGGUAUCGAACAGGAUUAGAUACCCUGGUAGUCCGCACGGUAAACGAUGGAUGCCCGCUGUUGGUCUGAAUAGGUCAGCGGCCAAGCGAAAGCAUUAAGCAUCCCACCUGGGGAGUACGCCGGCAACGGUGCAACUCAAAUGAAUUGACGGA
rnacentral:rRNA from 1 species